AAGACUAUACUUUCAGGGAUCAUUUCUAUAGUUCGUUACUAGAGAAGUUUCUCUGAACGUGUAGAGCACCGGAAACCACGAGGAGGAGGCGCAGUGUUCUCUUCUGAGCGUGAAGCCGGCUCUUGGUGUUGCUUCACUGCAACUGCCACUUGCCAUUGGUGAUCGUUCUUCUCUCUCUUUUAGAGGCAGUAAGAGGGAGAGGACGCAGUCUGAGUGGUU
ensembl:snoRNA